CAGUCGCCACGGAAUACGUAGGGUGCGAGCGUUAAUCGGAAUUACUGGGCGUAAAGCGUGCGCAGGCGGUUGUGUAAGACAGGUGUGAAAUCCCCGGGCUUAACCUGGGAACUGCGCUUGUGACUGCACAGCUAGAGUAUGGCAGAGGGGGGUGGAAUUCCACGUGUAGCAGUGAAAUGCGUAGAGAUGUGGAGGAACACCGAUGGCGAAGGCAGCCCCCUGGGCCAAUACUGACGCUCAUGCACGAAAGCGUGGGGAGCAAACAGGAUUAGAUACCCGCGUAGUCCCUGUCUCUUAUACC
rnacentral:rRNA from 1 species